CUUUUUGAGGAUUUGAUCCUGGUCCAGGACGAACGCUAGCGACGUGCUUUAAGCAUGCAAGUAGAGCGAGCCCGCAAGGGCAAGCUGCGAACGGCUGAGUAACACGUAGGAACCUACACUUUGGUGGGGUACAGCUCGCCGAAAGGCGGGGUAAUACCGCAUGACCUCGUGCUUUGCACAAGGAAAUUACGAAUAACACAAUAAAUUCCAAAUAACAAAUUACAAACAAUUAUCAAUUAAUAAAUAACAAAUAAUUAACAUUGUUUUUUUCAUUGAAAAUUGGAACUUGAAUUUUGUUUGUAUAUUGGAAUUUGUGAUUUGUUACAAGUGAUUUUCUCGCGCAGAGUGCGAGAAAAGGAUGUAACUGUCCGCCGAAGAAGGGGCCUGCGGCCUAUCAGCUUGUUGGUGGGGUAACGGCCUACCAAGGCUACGACGGGUAGGGGGCGUGAGAGCGUGUUCCCCCAGAAUGGGACUGAGACACGGCCCAUACACCUACGGGUGGCAGCAACUGGGAAUCGUGCGCAAUGGACGAAAGUCUGACGCCGCGACGUCGCGUGUGGGAUGACGGCCUUCGGGUUGUAAACCACUUUUGCCAAAGAGUGAUUACUUUGGAGAAUAAGCACCGGCUAACUACGUGCCAGCAGCAGCGGUAAUACGUAGGGUGCAAGCGUUGUCCGAAUUUAUUGGGCGUAAAGAGUUCGUAGGCGUUUCCUUACAUCUUGUUUCAAAUACCGGAGCUCAACUUCGGGAAGGGGCAAGAGAUGGAGGAAAUUGGAGAGUGCAGGGGCUACUGGAACUUGCGGUGUAGGAGUGAAAUCCGUUGAUAUCGUAAGGAACACCGAGGGCGAAGGCAAGUAGCUGGGCACACCUUGACGCUGAGGAACGAAAGCUAGGGUAGCGAAAGGGAUUAGAGACCCCUGUAGUCCUAGCCGUAAACGAUGCUCGCUAGGGAUUUGCCACGCAAAGGAUAUGUCCUUUGCGGGAAUUUCUAAGCACAAAUAUCUAAAUUCUAAGUAAUAUCCAAUUUCCAAUUUUCCAAAUUCAAAACAGACUAAAGUGUUAUGUAUUUGGAGUUUGGAAUUCGAGAUAUUUGAAUUUGUUUAGGAUUUCGAAUUUGGGAUUUAGAGUUUCCACGCAAAAACGACACAUUUUUUGCGUGGUGAGUCCCGUAAGCUAACGCGUUAAGCGAGCCGCCUGGGGAGUACGAGCGCAAGCUUAAAACUCAAAGGAAUUGACGGGGACCCGCACAACCAGUGGAGCAUCUCUGAUAGAAAUAUCGGGGGAUCCUUCGAAAGUUGGAUGGUAGCACAGGUGUUGCAUGGCUAUCGUCAGCUCGUGUCGUGGGAUGUUCCCUUCAGUGGGGUAACGAGCGCAACCCCUGCCGUAUGUUAAAUUAUUCAUACGGGACUGGCCAGCUUAGCUGGCAGGAAGUGGGGACGAUGUUAAGUCCGCAUGGCCCUUAUGUCUAGGGCAACACACAUGCUACAAUGGAGCCGACAAUGGGUUGCCAAGUGGUAACACGGAGCUAAUCCCAUCAAACGGCUUCUCAGUUGGGAUUGAGGGCUGCAACUCGCCCUCAUGAACGCGGAAUUGGUAGUAAUCGGAAAUCAGCUAAGUUCCGGUGAAUACGUUCUCGGGUCUUGUACACACCGCCGAAAUUAAAACGCGCGUGGCAGUCAUAUUUUCUAACAAGUUAAAAUCUUGUCUUUGUUGGAUAACUUUAAUU
rnacentral:rRNA from 1 species